rnacentral:lncRNA from 1 species
UCUUCAAAUGCAAUGCUAUUGCAUACGCUUUGCAUUUGAGGGGGGGGGGUGUUAGGAAGUAUUAGUAUUAGUCUAGGAGUCCUUAUUAGUCUAUUAGUAUUAGUCUAGGAGUCCUUAUUAGUCUAUGUUUACUUUCCUUGCACCUCAAGUCAUGUGUAAUAUAUAUGCCCCUUGGGCCUUCAAUACAGAUAAGUUGCUUUCCUAACA